UCCCGGGCCGAGGUCACGAAUGAUGGAGCCCCAUAAGAACCCAGGGAAUGUAAACGACGUCGUUGUUGGGAUUCGAUCCCGCGAUCUUCCGGCUUGUAAGAGGCUACGUAGAUCGCCGUUAAAUAAACCGUACACUAAUGGUUUCGCGGACCACCGUUAGAAGACCUCUACUGAAGUGCUCACGGGACAAGAAGCAGGGAAGUGCAGCAGACACUUGUUGCAAGAGAACGGCGUGUUGCAGUCUCUGUAUUGUUGGGAUGUCAGGCAAUGGUUCGAGAAGAAAGGGAAACCACCUAUGCCGCCAUUUGCCGCGGCAGUGCUUGAAAUUGGGGGAACCUUGAAGGAGCGAAUGUGUUCCUACAAGACGUUAGUAACCAAGAAUAGAAGGCCUCAUUAUGGAUCAUCAGUCACUCUU